UACGGGGGGAGCAAGCGUUGUUCGGAUUUACUGGGCGUAAAGGGCGCGUAGGCGGUCACUACAAGUCAGUUGUGAAAUCUCUGGGCUUAACUCAGAACGGUCAACUGAUACUGUCGGACUAGAGUGCAGAAGGGGCAACUGGAAUUCUCGGUGUAGCGGUGAAAUGCGUAGAUAUCGAGAGGAACACCAGUGGCGAAGGCGAGUCCCUGGACAGAUCCUGACGCUGAGGCACGAAAGCUAGGGGAGCAAACAGG
rnacentral:rRNA from 1 species